CACAGCUCAAACAGCUGAGCUAUUAAUGAAUAUUUAGUACAAGCUUUCCCAGUUUCUUUUCGAUUUACUUCGUCAUACUUACCCUGCGAUAUCUUUUCCUUCAUUACAGAUUUAGUAGCUUCAAUUUAAAUUUUAUCGAUUAUAUCGAGGUAUGUAUGUCUAAUAAAACAACUGGUUCAGUAAAAUGGUUUAACGAAUCUAAAGGCUUUGGCUUUAUCACACCUGACAAUGGCGGCGCAGAUGUGUUUGUACACUUCAGAGCAAUUGAAGGUGAUGGUUUUAAAACUCUGGUUGAAGGGCAAAAAGUAGCUUUCAAUUCAGAACAAGGCGCCAAAGGCCCACAAGCUGCCAACGUCACUGCAGCUUAAUAUCAUAAUAAAGGGAUGUGUUGUUUAAAGCGCAUAUCCCUUU
rnacentral:sRNA from 1 species